AGAGUUGAUCAUGGCUCAGGAUGAACGCUAGCGACAGGCCUAACACAUGCAAGUCGAGGGGCAGCACAAGGAGUAAUCUGAGGUGGCGACCGGCGCACGGGUGAGUAACACGUAUGCAACCUGGCUGUAAGAGGGGAAUAACCCGGAGAAAUCCGGACUAAUACCGCAUAAUACUUAGAAUCCGCAUGGAUUUUAAGUUAAACAUUUAUGGCUUACAGAUGGGCAUGCGUAUGAUUAGCUGGUUGGAGAGGUAACGGCUCCCCAAGGCAACGAUCAUUAGGGGUUCUGAGAGGAAGGUCCCCCACACUGGUACUGAGACGCGGACCAGACUCCUACGGGAGGCAGCAGUGAGGAAUAUUGGUCAAUGGACGCAAGUCUGAAACCCAGCCAAGUCGCGUGAAGGAAGAAUGUCCUAUGGAUUGUAAACUUCUUUUGAAGGGGAAUAAAGUACGGUACGUGUACCGUUUUGUAUGUACCCUUCGAAUAAGGAUCGGCUAACUCCGUGCCAGCCGCGGC
rnacentral:rRNA from 1 species